UAGCUACUCCCUCCGUUCGGAAUUACUUGUCGCUGAAAUGGAUGUAUCUAGACGUAUUUUAGUUCUAGAUACAUCCAUUUCCGAGACAAGUAAUUCCGAACGGAGGGAGUAGCUA
rnacentral:pre_miRNA from 1 species